GCCUGCCCUCACUGAAAAUGAAAUCCAGUGAAUUUUUCUCUGGAACACGUCUUCCUGUAUUUAACGCAUGAGAAAUUAUACAACUAUGAUGACUUGUUUAAGCCAAUGGACUUAGAGCCAGAAAAAUCUCACACUGAGUAAGAAUGACCUCAAGGCAUUCUGACCUGAACGAUAUAAUUACAAGUGACUUCUGGGAAGUUCGCAGGUAAGAAAGGCCAUGUGAUCGCCUGAAAUUCUUCCUUUGAUCCACAUUAGAAGUU